AACAAAUUAAUCUUGGUGAGGACACUAAAGCAAACUAAACGCCCGCCUAACCGCUAAAACUGCUCACACCUUACACCUUUCUUCACCAAAGUAAGCUAAACACCGCCUACCUGCUCACACGCUAAAUCCAGUACCACCUCCCUCACUCCCAUCUCACCAUUCCUCUCACGCCAAACGUGAGUGAUUUUCCACUUAAACAUGACUAGUUGACGUAAGCAGUUGAGCUUAAUGGAAUUUUUGUUCAAUAUUACUUAUGAAGAACGUUCCUCAAUGGCCAGAAGAUAAAGAAGGAUCUCACCCUGAAGACUCCUAAAAGCAGUCAUCCCCCUUGCUUUUCCCUGCAAAAUUCCUAACCGUUGUACAUGAUACAGCUCAUGACACAUUAAACACACAGAACCUCACCAAAUCUCAUGAGCCACCCAAUUCCCCACUCCCCCUUUUCCCUUUUAAACCCCUCCCUAAAAGUAAAAACAAACACCCCUGAACAGUAGUUCGUACCCAAAUGCUGAUGGAGACUAGAGCAAAAAUCAGCCACACGAACCCAAGCGCCUCACAGUAAUCUGUCUGAUUAAAUCCCUAUCCCCUCUCCAAGCUUUCUUUUGAACCCAGUUUCCACCUAAGGGGAUUCAUGAAAAAGAUAAGGAAAACCCCUUGAUGACCCAGAGCCAGACCAAGUCAUACCCCUCCUUCAAGUUUCAUUUCAAUUUCCGUUUUAUUAUUAUUUUUCCCUUUUUUUCUUUUUCUUUUCAUCUCACUUUUUCUCUUUUCUUUUUUUUUAUACCUCAUAUACUGAAUAAUACCGAUGGAAACUGGGAAUAGAAGCAUAAUGCAAACAGUGAAGUUGCUAGUACCUAGCCGGAAAGGUCAACUUACCAAAAUAUGUUUUUUUAUAGACCUUGGUAAGAUAGUUUAUUAUAUAUUGCGAGCCAUGUCACCAGCACCCAGAAGAACUGCAGCAUAGAAAUUUAUUUAGAGCUUAAUACUACCCUGCAACUUUGGACCCAUGAAAUCUGCUGAAAGAAGAUCAACCAAAGCAUCAAAAGCCCAGCAGAUGAGGCAUUUAGUGUUGUUGAUAAUGCUGGCAACAAGUUAUUGUCAGUUGAAAACAGCAGCACGACUUGUAUACUGUCAGUUGAAAACAGCAGCAAGACUUGUACGUGGAAGUUGAAAACGUGAUGCUGUAUUCAGUUAUUUUUUAUCAUGCUUUUAUUUUGUAACUUCUUAUAACUAUCAAGUAACUAGUGGGCUGUAUAUAUUUGUUUGGAUUAUGAAUGAAGUGUGUGCUUUUCCUUCAAUUUUCAAUACUCUGUUCAUCCCUGUUCUAUCCAACUAAAACAGAUGCUUCCUAACAUGAGCCAUACUUUUCAUUCCCCUUAAUUUAUCAUGGUAUCAAAGCUAAUACUAAGCUCUGGAGGGACCUGAAACAUACCACCAACCAAAUUCACAACUUUAACAACACUGCAAAUUGAUAGUAAUAUGUCUAUCUCCAACACAGCUUCACACCCGUCACUUUCCACCCUCAAUAGUGAAAACUAUACAUCCUGGUCAAUUAAAAUGAAAGCUUACUUACAAGCUUAUGACCUAUGAGACAUUGUCAAGUCAGGUUCGGAGCCUCCUGCCUUGAAAGAAACGGCAACACUUGCUCAAGUCAAACAACAUGGGGAAGAAGUUGCUAAACGGUAUCGAGCUCUGUCCUUUCUCCAUGCAUGUCUCACGGAACCGGCGUUUGCAAGAAUUAUGGCUUGUUCCACUGUAAAUGAGGCUUGGGACAGACUUAGAGAUGAGUUCCAAGGUUUUGACAAGACAAGGCAACUUCAAAUUCUCAAUCUUAUGAGAGAAUUUGAAAUUCUUCGGAUGAAAGAGUCUGACUCAGUGAAGGAGUACAUUGGAAAAGUGAUGAAAAUAGUCAAUCAAGUAAGAUUUUUGGGAGAAAAUCUACUUGAAAAAAGAGUUGUAGAGAAAGUGUUGAUAUCCUUACCCGAAAGGUUUGAACCCACAAUUUCAUCACUUGAAGGUUCAAAGGAUCUUCUACAACUGCAACUCACAGAUGUAGUCAAUGCUCUCCAAGCAUCAGACAAUAGGAGAGCCAUGCGUCUUGACAGCAACACAGAUCAUGCUAUGGUGGCCAAGAUGAAAGGAAAAGGCUCAGUUGAUGCUUACAACAGUAAAGGUUCAAAUGAACAGAAAGACAGAGGGAAAAAGAAUUCUCAUACCAAUAGAUCAUAGGGCAAGAAGAAUAACCAUCAAAUGUGUUCCCAUUGCAAAAAGCAUAACCAUGCAGAAGCCAACUGCUGGUUCAGACCUUCAACUAAGUGCCGAAUCUGUAAUCAGCAUGGUCAUAUAGACAAGGUGUGCAAGAAUAAGUCUGAAAAUCGAGAGAAAUCUCCUCAAGCAUUUGAGAGAACUGAGAUUGCUGAAGAAACAUUUUUGAUGGCUCAGACAGAACCAAAAGUUGUUGAAGCAAAUCAGUGGUUAUUAGAUAGUGGAGCUUCAAGUCACAUGACACCAUAUGUAGAGCUCUUCGCAGAACUUAACACUCAAUACCGAUCGUAUGUGAAAAUAGGUAAUGGGGUGUAUUUGCAAGCAACUGGAAAAGGAUCUGUGCAGACAUGAACCUCUUUGGGUGACAGGUAUGCAUUUAAAGUACUUCUUGUACCUGAAAUUAACCAAAAUCUUUUAAGUGUGGGACAGAUGGUUGAUGAUAAUUAUGCACUCUUGUUUAAAGACCAUUCUUGCAAGAUAUAUGAUCCAAGAGAUAAGUACCUCAUAACAGUUCCAAUGAAAAAAAAGUGUUUUCCAAUAGAUUUCAAUGAUGUGUGUCCGCAUGCUUUUGAAAAUAAGAUGAAUUUGACCUCUUUAUGGCACAAACGCCUUGGGCAUUAUAAUUAUUCCUCCUUGAUUCAGGCCAACACAUCUGGUUUAGUGGAAAAUUUACCCUCACUCACAGAAUCCAAGCAUGUUUGCAGCACUUGUCAAUUUGGAAAAGUCACCAGGAAACCAUAUCCUCAUGCAAGCUCAAGUCAAUCUGUUGAAAAACUUGGUCUAGUUCACACCGAUGUUGGAGGCCCAAUGAGUGAAGUAUCUCUAAAUGGCAGUAAGUUUUUCUUGAUCUUUGUUGAUGAUUUAUCACGCAUGUGCUGGAUUUACUUUAUGAAAACAAAGUCUGAGGUGUUUAGUCACUUCUUGAAUUUCAAAGCUCAAGUUGAAGUUGAAACAGGAAGAAAGAUUAAAGCAAUCAGGUCUGAUAAUGGUGAAGAAUACACAUAUCGAGAAUUCACUCAAUUUUUAAAAAAAGAAAGAAUAUUUCAUCAACUCACAGCUCCUUAUUGCCCACAACAAAAUGGUGUUAGUGACAGGAAAAAUCGAACAAUAGUUGAGAUGGUGAGAUGUCUCUUGUUGGAAAAAGGACUUUCUAAAAGCUUCUGGGUCGAGGCUGCCAGUACAGCUAUUUAUCUGUUAAAUCGGUUGCCUUCUCGUGCACUCAAAAAUACCACUCCUUAUGAAGUAUGGUUUGAAAGAAAACCAUUUGUAUCACAUCUCAAAGUCUUUGGAUGUCUUUGUUACCAGCAUAUACCUGAAGAGCACAGAGAUAAGUUGCAAUCCAAAGCUGUAAUGGGAGUGUUUAUUGGUUAUAGUCAGCACUCAAAGGCAUAUAGAGUGUAUCAUGUUAAUUCUGGUAAAAUCUUUGUCAGCAGGAAUGUAUCGUUUGAUGAAGGAAGUAGUUGGAACUAGGACAAACCUCAACAUACCAGAGUUAAUGCCACAAACACUUUAUCUGCUCUUCAAAAUAUUUCUGAUAUUGAGUUAGAUGAAGAUGAGCUUAUUGAUGAAGCACCAAUUAGAGGUACUCGCACAAUUCAAGACAUUUAUGAGCGAUGUCAAGUGGCCUUAUCUGAUCUUAUUUCUUUUGAAGAUGCCUCACAACAUGAAGAAUGGAUAAAAGCUAUGAGAGAGGAGAUUAAUAUGAUAGAGCAAAAUCAUACUUGGUCAUUGGUAAACAGACCAAUCAAUGGCCAUGUAAUUGAUGUCAAAUGGAUUUUCAAACGAAAAUUCAACUCUGAUGGUAGCCUUAGCAAAAGUAAGGUGAGAUUGGUCGCAAAAGGUUAUUCUUAACUUGCUGGAAUAAACUACCAUGAUACUUUUGCACCAGUGGCAAGACUUGAUACCAUCAGACUUCUCAUAGCUCUCUCUGUUGCACUUGAUUGGAAAAUCUACCACAUGGAUGUUAAGUUUGCUUUUUUGAAUGGUAAAGUCAAUGAAGAAAUAUUCAUCGAGCAGCCAAGAGGAUUUGAAGUUGAUGAUAGACAAAACAAAGUAUAUAAGCUUCACAAAGCAUUAUAUGGACUGAAACAGGCACCACAUGCUCGGUAUAGCAGGAUUGAUGCCUACAUAUUAACUUAAGGCUUUUACAAGAGCUUGAACGAAGCUACUUUGUAUGUGAAGAAAAUAAAAAAUGAAGUGGCAGUAAUUGUGUCUCUUUAUGUUGAUGAUAUCUUGAUUACUGGUGGAAAUCAAGCAAGCAUCGGGGAAUUUAAAUCAGCAAUGAAAAAGGAGUUUCACAUGUCUGAUUUGGGUUAAAUGAAAUAUUUUCUUGGUCUUGAAAUUCAGCAGUCCAAGGAAAGUAUUACUCUUUCUCAAAUCAACUACAUUCAAGAAGUCUUCAAACGUUUCAAGAUGGCAGAAUGUAGGUCAACUUCAACUCCUUUAGUUGCACAUGAAAAGCUAUCUCUCAAUUCUGGUGAAAUACUAGAGAGUCUCAGUGAUUAUCGAAGUCUCAUAGGAUGCCUCCUAUAUAUUUGUUCUACCCGUUCAGAGAUAAUGUUUGCUGUAAGUUAUCUCUCAAGAUUCAUGCAGAGACCAAGUCAACUUCAUCUGGUUGCUACUAAAAGGGUUCUCAGAUAUUUGAGAGGUAUAACCUGUCAUGGGAUAAAUUUCAUCAAAAACAAGACUAUUGAGCUUGUUGGAUUUUCAGAUAAUGAUUGGGGUGGCUGCAACGAUGAUGGUAGAAGCACAUCAGGCUACAUAUAUUUCUUUGGGAAAUGGUCCUUUUUCAUGGAACUCUCACAAGCAGAAUACAGUGGCACAAUCCUUAUCUGAGGUAGAAUAUGUGGCAGCAGCUGAAGCUUCAAAUCAAGCAAUCUGGCUAAGGAAACUUCUACAUGAUCUUGGCAUAGAUCAAAUCAAUCCUACAAAGUUGUUUAUUGAUAACAAGUCUGCAAUCUCCAUGACCAAGAAUCUUGUGUUUCACGGAAGAACCAAGCAUAUCAACAUCAAGUACCAUGCCCUCAAAGAUGCAAAAAAGAAGGGAGAGAUACUUCUGCAAUAUUGCAAAUCAGAAGACUAGGUUGCAGACAUAAUGACCAAGUCUUAGUCUAAGUCAAGGUUUGAACUUAACAAAGAUAAGUUGAUGAUUCAGGUUGCAAGCAUUAAGGAGGAGUGUUGUUGAUAAUGUUGGCAACAGGUUAUUGUCAGUUGAAAAUAGCAGCAU
rnacentral:lncRNA from 1 species